rnacentral:rRNA from 1 species
UACGUAGGCGGCGAGCGUUGUCCGGAGUUACUGGGCGUAAAGGGUGCGCAGGCGGCCCGGCAGGUUGGUGGUGAAAGCUCCUGGCUCAACUGGGAGAGGGCCAUGCAGACGGUCGGGCUUGAGGGUCGCAGAGGGGCGUGGAAUUCCGGGUGGAGCGGUGAAAUGCGUAGAGAUCCGGAGGAACACCGACGGCGAAGGCAGCGCCCUGGACGAUCCCUGACGCUCAGGCACGAAAGCGUGGGGAGCAAACAGG